UACGGGGGGGGCAAGCGUUGUUCGGAAUUACUGGGCGUAAAGGGCUCGUAGGCGGCCAACUAAGUCGGACGUGAAAUCCCCAGGCUCAACCUGGGAACUGCGUCCGAUACUGGAUGGCUUGAAUUCGGGAGAGGGAUGCAGAAUUCCAGGUGUAGCGGUGAAAUGCGUAGAGAUGUGGAGGAACACCGAUGGCGAAGGCAGCCCCCUGGGUCAAGAUUGACGCUCAUGCACGAAAGCGUGGGGAGCAAACAGG
rnacentral:rRNA from 1 species